rnacentral:rRNA from 1 species
UACAGAGGGUCACAGCUGUUGGUCGAAUUACUGGGCGUAAAGGGCGCGUAGGCGGCCCGCUAAGUCGAACGUGAAAUCCCCGGGCUCAACCCGGGAACUGCGUCCGAUACUGGUGGGCUUGAAUCCGGGAGAGGGAUGCGGAAUUCCAGGUGUAGCGGUGAAAUGCGUAGAUAUCUGGAGGAACACCGGUGGCGAAGGCGGCAUCCUGGACCGGUAUUGACGCUGAGGCGCGAAGCCAGGGGAGCAAAGCAGGG